UGUCUUGUGUAUGUAUGUGGCUUGGGAAAGUGCAAUGGGAAAGAUUUUAACAGUAGAGGGAUAUUGGUACAGACCAUUACCCCUCUCAAAUGGUCUUGAUUGGGUAAUUGGCUGGCCUAUUUAAAGGCUGCCUCAUUUCACACAGGAGAGAGACUGAAGAGUGUCAACUGGAUAAGAGGUUGUAUGGAAUGGUUUCAGUGUGGAAAUGGCUAGUGCUUAAGAAACCGGUUGGUUUGUUUUGGAUUUGUCGUCAAGUCUUUUUGUUUGCUAUUUGUUUGCACUGUUUUCGCACUGUAAAUAAAUCUGCACUCUCCACCAAAAUCCACGUUUGCUUGCUGUGUCUUCACCCCAUCAUCACUUCACCUCAGUGAGUCCUAGCCUUUUGCCCAAGUUCUUCACCAGUCAAAGCUCUAUGGGUGAGUGGCAAAGCUCUUAUUAAAUGUCGAUUCAAGUUUGCCCAAAGACAUGUUGGAGACUACAAGGUCAAAUGGAAAAAGGUUUGUUGGUUCUGAUGAAACCAAAAUUUACCUUUUUGUCCAUCAGAUAAAGGACCUUUUGUCCAUCAGGUAAAAGUAAAAUGAAUUUAGCAAAAUAUAUGGAAAUCCUGAAGUACAAUCUGAUUCAGUCUGCAAAUGAACUAUACGACUUGGGAGAUGGUUUACUCUCCAGCAAGACAAUGAGCAGAAGCCUACGGUGAAAACUACACAGAAAUGAUUUUAAGACAAGGUGAAUCUUCUGGAGAGGCCGAGUCCAAGCCCAUACCUCAAUCCUACAGCAAAUCUGUGGCUGGACUUAAAAAGGGCUGUUCACACCCGAUCCCUUUUCAAUUUGGCAGAGCUUGAGCAGUUUUGCAAAGAAAAAUUGAGUUAAAUUGCAGUAUCCAGAUGUGCAAGCCUAUUUGAGACCUAUCCACACAGACUCCAUGCUUUAAUUGUGGCCAAAGAUGCAUCUGCUCAAUGCUGACUUGAAUGGGGUCACAGUCAUUUACCAUAGACAUGGUGACUAUGUAUGAUAGGCUAAUGAGCUUGAUUGGCCGGCCCAACGCUAACAGAAAAACACUGCCUCAAAAGACUAUUUGAACACUUGAAAGUUUUCAAUGUACAAAAACAAUAAUUACAAUAAAAGUGAGCUCUAUACGCGCAAGAUAUAUUUGGAUGGCAACCCAUCUUUAAUGUUGCAUAUCUCUAAAUUUGAUCCAAGGUGUUUCUGAAAAUACAAACUGAAUCUUUAACAGUAGCCUAGCUCUAUAAUUUUGAACAAUCUGUUUUAGAUCUUUUCUGUUUUUUUGUUUUGGUG